rnacentral:rRNA from 1 species
UACGUAGGGGGCUAGCGUUGUCCGGAAUCAUUGGGCGUAAAGCGCGUGUAGGCGGCCCGGUAAGUCCGCUGUGAAAGUCGGGGGCUCAACCCUCGAAAAGCCGGUGGAUACUGUCGGGCUCGAGUGCGGAAGAGGCGAGUGGAAUUCCUGGUGUAGCGGUGAAAUGCGCAGAUAUCAAGGAGGAACACCGAUUGCGAAGGCAGCUCGCUGGGACGUUACUGACGCUGAGACGCGAAAGCGUGGGGAGCAAACAGGAUUAAGAAACCCCCGGUA